rnacentral:rRNA from 1 species
ACAGCAGCAGCCGCGGUAAUACGAAGGGUGCAAGCGUUAAUCGGAAUUACUGGGCGUAAAGCGUGCGUAGGCGGUGAGUUAAGUCUGCUGUGAAAUCCCCGGGCUCAACCUGGGAAUGGCAGUGGAUACUGGCUCGCUAGAGUGUGUCAGAGGAUGGUGGAAUUCCCGGUGUAGCGGUGAAAUGCGUAGAGAUCGGGAGGAACAUCAGUGGCGAAGGCGGCCAUCUGGGACAACACUGACGCUGAGGCACGAAAGCGUGGGGAGCAAACGGGAUUAGAUACCCCGCGUAGUCCCUGUCUCUUAUA